AAGACUAUGCUCUUGGGGGUCAUUUGUAUGGGUUGUUAUCAGGGAAGUUUCUCUAAACGUGGGGAGUACCGGAAACCAUGAGAAAAAGACAUAGUGUUUUGUUUUCUGAGCAGGAAGCCGGCAUUUGGUGUUAUGUAAGCGCCAUCUGCCAUUGAUGGUCGUUCUUCUCUCCGUUUUGGAGACGUAAGAGGGAAAGAACACGGUUUGAGCAGU
ensembl:snoRNA U3 Small nucleolar RNA U3